rnacentral:tRNA from 1 species
CAGUAGCUGAGUGGAUAACGCGAUGGCAUUUGAAACAAAAGUUACUGGGUUCGAGUCUCAGAGUGGA